rnacentral:rRNA from 1 species
GAUGAACGCUAGCUACAGGCUUAACACAUGCAAGUCGAGGGGCAGCACUAGGUAGCAAUACUGAGGUGGCGACCGACGCACGGGUGCGUAACGCGUAUCCAACCUUCCCGUUACUCUUGGAUAGCCUUCCGAAAGGGAGAUUAAUACAGGAUGGUGUUUGAAUUCCGCAUGUUAUUCAAACUAAAGAUUUAUCGGUAACGGAUGGGGAUGCGUGACAUUAGGUAGAUGGCGGGGUAACGGCCCACCAUGCCUACGAUGUCUAGGGGUUCUGAGAGGAAGGUCCCCCACACUGGAACUGAGACACGGUCCAGACUCCUACGGGAGGCAGCAGUGAGGAAUAUUGGUCAAUGGUCUGACGACUGAACCAGCCAUGCCGCGUGAAGGUGACGGCCCUAUGGGUCUUAAACUUCUUUUGUAAGGGUAGCAAUAAGCUUUACGUGUAGAGUGAUGAGAGUACCUUACGAAUAAGCAUCGGCUAACUCCGUG